rnacentral:tRNA from 1 species
GCCUCUGUAGCUCAGUGGUUAGAGCGCCACAUUGGUAAUGUGGAGGUCGCGAGUUCAACUCUCGCCAGAGGCU